AAAUUAUUUCAAUUUUCUUUCACAAUACUAUUAAACUAUAAUUAAAUUUAUUUUUUCUAUAUUAAAUACUAAAACAAAACUUUAUAUAAUUAUUUUUAAUAAUUUAUAUUCUUUUUAAAAAAAAUUAAUAAAUAAAAUAUAAUCAAUUUAUAUUGAUUUGCACAAAAAUUUUUUCAAUGUAAAUGAAAUGCUUUACUAAAUAAGCUUUAAAUCGCAUUCUAGAUACACUUUCCAGUACAUCUACUAUGUUACGACUUAUCUUAUUUUAAUAAUAAGAGUGACGGGCGAUGUGUACAUAUUUUAGAGCUAAAAUCAAAUUAUUAAUCUAUAUAAUUUUACUAUCAAAUCCAAUUUCAAUAAAUAUUUCAAAUUUAUAUCCACAUAAAUAAUUUUAUUGUAACCCAUUUCUACUUAAAUAUAAGCUACACCUUGAUCUGAUAUACUUUUAUUUAUAAAAUCAUGAAAAUUAACAUUCUUAUAAAAUAUUCUAAUAACGACGGUAUAUAAACUGAAUACAAAUUUAAGUAAGGUCCAUCGUGGAUUAUCGAUUAUAGAACAGGUUCCUCUGAAUAGACUAAAAUACCGCCAAAUUUUUUAAGUUUAAAGAACAUAGCUA
rnacentral:rRNA from 1 species